rnacentral:rRNA from 1 species
ACUCAAAGGAAUUGACGGGGACCCGCACAAACGGUGGAGCAUGUGGUUUAAUACGACGAUACGCGUGGAACCUCACCCAGGCUUGACAUGUACCUGAAACCCUUAUGAAAGUUUGGGCCUCCCUUAAAAGACAGGUACACAGGUGUUGCAUGGCUGUCGUCAGCUCGUGUCGUGAGAUGUUGGGUUAAGUCCCGCAACGAGCGCAACCCCCAUUCUUAGUUGCUACAGGUCAUGCUGAGAACUCUAAGAAGACCGCCAGUGAUGAACUGGAGGAAGGUGGGGAUGACGUCAAGUCAGUACGGCCCUUACGCCUGGGGCUACACACGUGCUACAAUGGCAGGUACAAUGGGUUGCGAAACCGCAAGGUGGAGCUAAUCCCCUAAAGCCUGCCCCAGUUCAGAUUGAAGGCUGCAACUCGCCUUCAUGAAGCCGGAAUCGUUAGUAACCCCGUAUCAGCCACGACGGGGUGAAUACGUUCCCGGGUCUUGUACACACCGCCCGU